UUCGCAAUGCCCGAAAGGGUGACGAAGCGACGCCGCGUGUGGGAAGAAGGCCUUCGGGUUGUAAACCACUGUCGGGAGUUAAGAAAUGCAAGGAUAUUAAUAGUGUCUUUGUUUGACUAAGGCUCCGGAGGAAGCCACGACUAACUCUGUGCCAGCAGCCGCGGUAAUACAGAGGCGGCAAGCGUUGUUCGGAAUUAUUGGGCGUAAAGAGCACGUAGGCGGCUAUGUAAGUCGGUUGUGAAAGCCUUCCGCUCAACGGAAGAACAGCAUCCGAUACUACAUGGCUUGAGUGUGGGAGGGGAGAGUGGAACUUCUGGUGGAGCGGUGAAAUGCGUAGAUAUCAGAAGGAACGCCGGCGGCGAAAGCGGCUCUCUGGCCCAUAACUGACGCUGAGUGUGCGAAAGCUAGGGGAGCAAACGGGAUUAGAUACCCCGGUAGUCCUAGCCGUAAACGAUGGGCACUAAGUAGAGGGGUUUU
rnacentral:rRNA from 1 species